AGACAACAGGGAUUACCUCAGUAACGGCGAGUGAAGCGGUAACAGCUCAAAUUUGAAAUCUGGUCCCCUCUGGGGGCCCGAGUUGUAAUUUGAAGAGGAUGCUUUUGGCGAGGCGCCUUCCGAGUGCCCUGGAACGGGACGCCACAGAGGGUGAGAGCCCCGUAUGGUAGGACGCCGAGCCUCUGUAAAGCUCCUUCGACGAGUCGAGUAGUUUGGGAAUGCUGCUCAAAAUGGGAGGUAAACCCCUUCUAAAGCUAAAUAUUGGCCAGAGACCGAUAGCGCACAAGUAGAGUGAUCGAAAGAUGAAAAGCACUUUGAAAAGAGAGUUAAACAGCACGUGAAAUUGUUGAAAGGGAAGCGCUUGCGACCAGACUUGCGCCCGUCGGAUCAACCGUCCCUCGUGGGCGGCGCACUCCGGCGGGCUCAGGCCAGCAUCAGUUUUCCCGGGGGGAGAAAGGCGGUGGGAAUGUGGCUCUUCGGAGUGUUAUAGCCCUCCGCGUAAUGCCCCCGGGGGGACUGAGGACCGCGCGUAAGCAAGGAUGCUGGCGUAAUGGUCGUCAGCGACCCGUCUUGAAACACGGACCAAGGAGUCGUCCUAAUAUGCGAGUGUACGGGUGUAAAACCCCUGCGCGUAAUGAAAGUGAACGGAGGUGAGAGCUUCGGCGCAUCAUCGACCGAUCCUGAUGUUCUCGGAUGGAUUUGAGUAAGAGCAUAUUGGGCCGGACCCGAAAGAAGGUGAACUAUGCCUGUAUAGGGUGAAGCCAGAGGAAACUCUGGUGGAGGCUCGCAGCGGUUCUGACGUGCAAAUCGAUCGUCAAAUAUGGGCAUGGGGGCGAAAGACUAAUCGACU
rnacentral:sRNA from 1 species